UUCCGGUUGAUCCUGCCGGAGGCUACCGCUAUUGGAGUUCGAUUAAGCCAUGCGAGUCGAGAGUCUUAGGGACUCGGCGCACCGCUCAGUAACACGUGGGUAACCUGCCCUAUGCUGGGGAAUAACCUCGGGAAACUGAGAAUAAUGCCCCAUAGCCCACUACGCCUGGAACGGUGAGUGGGUCAAAGCUCCGGCGGCAUAGGAUGGGCCUGCGCCGUAUCAGGUUGUAGGGGGUGUAAAGUACCCUCUAGCCAUCAACGCGUACGGGUGUUGGGAGACAUUGCCCGGAGAUGGAUUCUGAGACACGAAUCCAGACCCUACGGGGUGCAGCAGGCGCGAAAACUUGGCAAUGCGAGCAAUCGUGACCAGGGAACUCCAAGUGCGUAGGGUAAGACCUACGCUUUUCUUGACUCUUCAAAGGUCUUGGAAUAAGGGGUGGGUAAGGACGGUGCCAGCCGCCGCGGUAAUACCGGCGCCUCAAGUGGUAGUCGCUUUUAUUGGGCCUAAAACGUCCGUAGCCGGUCUGGUGCAUUCGUGGGUAAAUCAACCCGCUCAACGGGUUGAAUUCUGCGAGCACGGCCAGACUUGGGACCGGGAGAGGUGUGGGGUACUCUCAGGGUAGGGGUAAAUCCUGUCAUCCUGAGAGGACACCUGGUUGCGAAGGCGCCACACUAGAACGGAUCCGACGGUCAGGGACGAAACCU
rnacentral:rRNA from 1 species